AGCGGCGGACGGGUGAGUAAUGCCUGGGAAUAUGCCUUAGUGUGGGGGAUAACUAUUGGAAACGAUAGCUAAUACCGCAUAACGUCUUCGGACCAAAGAGGGGGACCUUCGGGCCUCUCGCGCUAAGAUUAGCCCAGGUGGGAUUAGCUAGUUGGUGGGGUAAAGGCCCACCAAGGCAACGAUCCCUAGCUGGUCUGAGAGGAUGAUCAGCCACACUGGAACUGAGACACGGUCCAGACUCCUACGGGAGGCAGCAGUGGGGAAUAUUGCACAAUGGGGGAAACCCUGAUGCAGCCAUGCCGCGUGUAUGAAGAAGGCCUUCGGGUUGUAAAGUACUUUCAGUCGUGAGGAAGGGUGUGUAGUUAAUAGCUGCGUGGCUUGACGUUAGCGACAGAAGAAGCACCGGCUAACUCCGUGCCAGCAGCCGCGGUAAUACGGAGGGUGCGAGCGUUAAUCGGAAUUACUGGGCGUAAAGCGCAUGCAGGCGGUCUGUUAAGCAAGAUGUGAAAGCCCGGGGCUCAACCUCGGAACCGCAUUUUGAACUGGCAGACUAGAGUCUUGUAGAGGGGGGUAGAAUUUCAGGUGUAGCGGUGAAAUGCGUAGAGAUCUGAAGGAAUACCGGUGGCGAAGGCGGCCCCCUGGACAAAGACUGACGCUCAGAUGCGAAAGCGUGGGGAGCAAACAGGAUUAGAUACCCUGGUAGUCCACGCCGUAAACGAUGUCUACUUGAAGGUUGUGGCCUUGAGCCGUGGCUUUCGGAGCUAACGCGUUAAGUAGACCGCCUGGGGAGUACGGUCGCAAGAUUAAAACUCAAAUGAAUUGACGGGGGCCCGCACAAGCGGUGGA
rnacentral:rRNA from 1 species